rnacentral:snRNA from 1 species
GUGGAGAGCACACGGUAUU